rnacentral:rRNA from 1 species
AGUACGAUCGGGUCAGGAGGCGCGGGAGUAAGAAGGGGGACAGCGUUGCGCGGAUUAACAGUGCGGUAAGCGCACGUAGGCGACAUGUGAAGUGAGGGGGGUAAUCCGGUAGCUCAGCUCCAGAAGUGCCUUUUAUAAGGGCGAGAUUGAGUUCGGGAGAGGUGAGGGGAACUGCGAGUGUAGAGGUGAAAUUCUUAGAUAUUCGCAAGAACACCAGUGGCGAAGGCGGCUCACUGGCCCGAUACUGACGCUGAGGUGCGAAAGCGUGGGGAGCAAACAGGAUUAGAUACCCUUGUAGUC